GACAGUCUGACGCUCACUUGUUUACACACGAGACGUAUUUACCUGAUUCAGCGCUUAAAGUUUGUUGUUUCUUCCACGAAGUGCCUUGGAAACAUUCUCUUACCCCACGUCCCCCGUACCAGAGAGGAGUUGUACAGUCUAAUGGCGUGUGGGACAAAGGAGUUUUUGAGUCUAUUAGUCCUGCACUUGGGAUGAAGCAGUCUAGAACUGAACAGGCUCCUCUGGCUACGGAUAAAACUAUACAGAGGGUGACUGGCAUCAUCCAGGAUGCUUACUAGUUUGUCAACAGUCUUCUCUGCCACCGUCACCAGUGAGUCCAGUUUCAUUCCCAUUGUAGAACCGGCACUUCUGUCACAACAUGGCUUGGACGUGGAUUGUUUCCUCGACACAGAUGAGAAUCAGCACGAGCGAGGCGUGGACGAGGUAAUAAAGGAAGAUCUCCAUCGAGACAGAGAGACUUUUAAAACUGAAGAAAGAUAAGGAAGACUUCUAUAAACAAGUUAUCGAUGCUUUUGAUCAGAAGGAGCUGCGCAUGGACUUCAUUUAUAAGUAAAGCUGAGUUUCCCAGUUCGUCCCAGAUACGCCCCUGCUUGCGCUGGGCGCAGCACACCCACGCAGCGACAAAGCUGCAGACAAUUGCAAAUCAGCACACCUGAACCUGACGAGAGGUACCGGCAUAAAAGCCAGCGGACCCACGAGACCUUUGCCAGAACGUAGCCAAUCUUUCACAUGUCUUCCCUGUUGCCUGUGAUCGUUUGCCUCCCGCGACCCUCGACCCCAGCUUGGACUCGGACAUUGUUGCCUCUCUCCAACCCCCUGCUGACUACCUCUUCGUCUUGCCCCUUGGAUUUGAUGAAAUAUUCCCACAACACGCAUCAACAACAACCACUGGUAAAACUUACAUUGUUAAUUCUACACAUUGUCCACACUCAUUCACUUGUGGUAGCAUACACACCCCACACACACUCUUCAAGGUCUUCAAUAAACCUGGUAAACCGCA